rnacentral:lncRNA from 1 species
GAACACAAAGCCCCCCUCCUCCACCCCCCCCCAAGUCUCUCCUACUGGUGCCCCGCGUGGGACCAGGGUGUGAUUUGGCGGGAGGGAAAGCAGACCCAGGUGGAGCAACGCUGGGGAGAGGAGGAGGAGGAGGAGGAGCAGGAGGAAGAGGAGGAGGAGGAGGGGAGGAGGAAGAGGAGGAGGAGGAGGGGAGGAGGAAGAGGAGGAGGGCCAGGAGGAAGAGGAGGAAGAGGAGGAGGAGGAGGAAGAGGAGGAGGGCCAGGAGGAAGAGGAGGAAGAGGAGGAGGGCCAGGAGGAAGAGGAGGAGGAGGGGGAGGAGGAGGGCCAGGAGGAAGAGGAGGAGGAGGGGGAGGAGGAGGGCCAGGAGGAAGAGGAAGAAGAGGAGGAGAGGAGGAGGAGGAGGAGGGCCAGGAGGAAGAGGAGGAGGAGGAGGAGGGGGGAGGAGGAGGAGGAGGAGGGGGGAGGAGGAGGAGGAGGAGGGGGAGGGCCAGGAGGAGGAGGAGGAGGAGGAGGUGGAGGAGGGGAGGAGGAGCAGGUGGAGGAGGAGGGCCAGGAGGAGGGGGAGGGGAGGAGGAGGAGGAGGGGAGGAGGAGCAGGAGGAGGAGGAGGACCAGGAGGAAGAGGAGGAAGAGGAAGAGGAGGAGGAGGGGGAGGAUGAGGGCCAGGAGGAAGAGGAAGAAGAGGAGGGGAGGAGGAGGAGGAGGAGGAGGGCCAGGAGGAAGAGGAGGGGGAGGAGGAGGGGAGGAAGAGCAGGAGGAGGGGGAGGAGGAGGAGGAGGAGGUGGAGGAGGGCCAGGAGGGGGAGGGCCAGGAGGAGGAGGAGCAGGAGGAGGAGGAGGAGGAGGAGGGCCAGGAGGAGGGGGAGGUAUGGUGUCCCUUGGCAGCUCCGUGCGCGCUGCGGCAGUGGCCACAGGAGCAUGGGGUACCAGUUGCUCAACACUUUAUCAGUUUGCACUGCUCUUUCUUCUCUCUCCGUUUCUGGAAAGUGAGCCCAUACUUCGGUGCCCACGACCCGAAGCCUUCGGGUGCUCCCGAAGUUCACUUGGAUUUCGAGCACGGCCACCUUUGUGGAAGGUGCAGUUACACCUGUAAGGGGACGGGGAGGGGAGCCCGCGUUUCCCACCCAGGCAACGAGCCGAGUCGGUGCAGCAGCAGGACCGUGGGGGACCUCUCAUGUGGCCUUUGUAAAUGUGGGUUUGCGACAGAGUGAAUGUAGAAGCUGAAAAUGCCUGGAAGAUUCCUGGUUUCUGUUGCUACAUGCCCUGCCUUUUUGCAUCACCGCCUGAUUCGGAUGAGGUGAUGUUCAGAGGGACGCCUUAAUCGACACCGUUGUCAGCGAGUGGCCUCUGGCUGGA